rnacentral:rRNA from 1 species
AUAGCGUAUAUUAAAGUUGUUGCAGUUAAAAAGCUCGUAGUUGAAUUUCAGACCUGGCUGGACGGUCUGCCUAACGGUAUGUACUGUCCGGCUGGGCCUUACCUCUUGGUGAGCCGGCAUGCCCUUCAUUGGGUGUGUUGGGGAACCAGGACUUUUACCUUGAGAAAAUUAGAGUGUUCAAAGCAGGCUUAUGCUCGAAUACAUUAGCAUGGAAUAAUAAAAUAGGACGUGCGGUUCUAUUUUGUUGGUUUCUAGAGUCGCCGUAAUGAUUAAUAGGGAUAGUUGGGGGCAUUAGUAUUCAGUUGCUAGAGGUGAAAUUCUUGGAUUUACUGAAGACUAACUACUG